UAGGGAAUCUUCCACAAUGGGUGCAAACCUGAUGGAGCAAUGCCGCGUGAGUGAAGAAGGUCUUCGGAUCGUAAAGCUCUGUUGUUAGAGAAGAACACGUGCUAGGUAACUACUAGCGCCUUGACGGUAUCUAACCAGAAAGUCACGGCUAACUACGUGCCAGCAGCCGCGGUAAUACGUAGGUGACAAGCGUUGUCCGGAUUUAUUGGGCGUAAAGGGAGCGCAGGCGGUCUGUUUAGUCUAAUGUGAAAGCCCACGGCUUAACCGUGGAACGGCAUUGGAAACUGACAGACUUGAAUGUAGAAGAGGAAAAUGGAAUUCCAAGUGUAGCGGUGGAAUGCGUAGAUAUUUGGAGGAACACCAGUGGCGAAGGCGAUUUUCUGGUCUAACAUUGACGCUGAGGCUCGAAAGCGUGGGGAGCGAACAGGAUUAGAUACCCUGGUAGUCCACGCCGUAACGAUGAGUGCUAAGUGUUGGGGGCUUUCCGGCCCUCGGUGCUGGAGCUAACGUAUUAAGCACUCCGCCUGGGGAUUACGACCGCAAGGUU
rnacentral:rRNA from 1 species